rnacentral:rRNA from 1 species
UAGGGAAUCUUCCACAAUGGACGAAAGUCUGAUGGAGCAACGCCGCGUGAGUGAAGAAGGUUUUCGGAUCGUAAAGCUCUGUUGUUGGUGAAGAAGGAUAGAGGCAGUAACUGGUCUUUAUUUGACGGUAAUCAACCAGAAAGUCACGGCUAACUACGUGCCCG